rnacentral:rRNA from 1 species
GAUGAACGCUAGCGGCAGGCCUAAUACAUGCAAGGCGAAGGGGCAGCAAUGUCACUGUCGUACGGGUGCGUAACGCGUAUGCAACCUACCUAUCACAGGGGGAUAGCCUUUGGAAACAGGGAUUAAUACCGCAUAAAGCAGGGACUCCGCAUGGAGAUAUUGCUAAAGAUUUAUCGGUGAUAGAUGGGCAUGCGUCUGAUUAGUUAGUUGGUAGGGUAACGGCCUACCAAGACGAUGAUCAGUAGGGGGCGUCAGAGCGUGGUCCCCCACACUGGCACUGCGAUACGGGCCAGACUCCUACGGGAGGCAGCAGUAGGGAAUAUUAGGCAAUGGAUGCAAGUCUGACCCAGCCAUGGCGCGUGCAGGAAGAAGGUCCUCCGGAUUGUAAACUGCUUUUAUCGGGGAAGAAUAGGUCUCUUGCGAGGGAUUGUGACGGUACCCGAUGAAUAAGCCACGGCUAACUACGUGCCAGCCGCCGCCGUAAUAC